rnacentral:rRNA from 1 species
AACGAACGCUGGCGGCAGGCUUAACACAUGCAAGUCGAGCGCCCCGCAAGGGGAGCGGCAGACGGGUGAGUAACGCGUGGGAAUCUACCCAUCUCUACGGAAUAACGCAUGGAAACGUGUGCUAAUACCGGAAACGUCCUUCGGGAGAAAGAUUUAUCGGAGGUGGAUGAGCCCGCGUUGGAUUAGCUAGUUGGUGGGGUAAAGACCUACCAAGGCGACGAUCCAUAGCUGGUCUGAGAGGAUGAUCAGCCACACUGGGACUGGGACACGGCCCAGACUCCUACGGGAGGCAGCAGUGGGGAAUAUUGGACAAUGGGCGCAAGCCUGAUCCAGCCAUGCCGCGUGAGUGAUGAAGGCCCUAGGGUUGUAAAGCUCUUUCACCGGUGAAGAUAAUGACGGUAACCGGAGAAGAAGCCCCGGCUAACUUCGUGCCAGCCGCCGCCGUAACAC